CAUUGUUUCAACUUUCAAGGCCCAAACCAAUUCCAUAACCCGGUUACCAUUCUGAUUUUUGCGUGAGCAGCUAGGUUACCAACUUAUCACUAUUUCCAAAACAUCACCAUCGUUUCAAAUCCAAACAACAUGUUGCGCAACUAGGUUACCUUACCCUUACUAAGCGGAAUCGUUCCAAAUCGAAACAAGCACGAAGCACAAUCGUUCCAAUUCGAAACUCAGUUCCAAAUCACGCAAACACGAAGCACAAUCGUUCCAAAAUCGAAGCAAACACGAAGCAGAAGAAGACUUUGUCCGAUUGGAUCUUGCGGUGGGAAGAAGGUUUUGAAAGCUUCAGCAUUUUAUUCAAUCAUUAUCAAAACAUAUGUAUUAUUUAAAUCAAGCAUUUUAAUCAAGCAUUUCGUUUCGGAUUAUGUAUCAUUUAUCUGAUGUUGACCUCGAAUAUCUUACUAUUGUUUUAUUGAACUCCGGUAAACAUUUUGGAAUUUGGAAUUAGUCUUUUUAAUUGUGAAACUAAUUCAUGGCCUUACAUCUAUUGUUACAGUCAAAUAUGGCUGCAUCCUUUUCCAUUUCUAUGGCCGAAAAUCAGAUGUUAUGGAAGCAUUAGAAGCAUUGCAAGAAAAUGGAAGGAUUGGAAGCAUUAUUUAAUACUUAAUAUAUUAUUAUUAAGAAACAAGAAACAAGCAGUAUUGUGUUACAAUUUAUAUAUUAUGAGAGACUUGUUAUUUGGUAAUGUUAAAUGUGUGAAUGACUUGUUAUUUGGUAAUGUUAAA